UAAAGGAGGUGUGGUGUACUCCGUCACUCAGAGGCGUGUCUCUGAACUCUAAGGAUCAAAGGAAAUGAAAUAUUUCUUUAAUCUGAGCGCGCGCGCACACACACACGCACACACUACCUGUCUCGCGCGCGGUCUCUCUCGCUCUCUCACAGACGGAUUUAUUUAUUUGAGUAUUUAUGAUUUUUAUUGGAUGUACAGUUACAGUACAGACUUUCUGAGCAGAACUCGCACAGGAGGAGCCCCACAGGAAGAGUCCCACAGGAAGAGUCCCACAGGAGGAGUCCCACAGGAGGAGUCCCACAGGAGGAGUCCCACAGGAGGAGUCCCACAGGAGGAGUCCGGAUCCCGGAGUACAGCAGCGGGGUUGGUAUGAGACGGUGAAGAGCGUGCGCAGGAAUUUCAGCCUUCACUGAUUUCAAGUCCUGACGAGUGUGAAACAAUGACGACCUUAAACCACGAAUCAAACAUCAGCACUCCGCUGACUCAAACGAAGAAGUCGGUGGAUGUGGAGAAAGGCUCUGACGGUCAACACCUUCCAGUGAAAGACUACAGGAAACUGGCCAUCUGCAGCAUCAUAUGCGGCCUGUCCUGUGUUGGCAUAGUGUCUCUCAUUUACUCAGUUAAGACUCGGGAGUCCAACAAGAAGUACGGUGGUGAAGCGCCGAACAAAGCCAAGGAAUAUUCUAGAAAAACCCUACAAUGGGGAAUAGGAGCCAUCGUUGCAUGGUGUGGUCUUCUUAUUCUCACCCCACUGCUGUUGGGACUGCUGUCAUACCUUCUGACGUUUAUAAACUGAAGCGCAGUUCAUCAAAAACGCCAAAUGGAGAACAUCUGUGCCCAAGAAAUGCACAACUCAUUGGCGUCAUGGACCUCCAAAUAAACAAACAAGACAGAUAGGGAUCCAAAGCUGCCCAGCUGAGACACAGAGACCUCAAAAAACUUUCAAAUGCAGACCUGAAAACGCCGAGACAAAAAGACCGAACUGAAACAUGGAGUCCAAAAAGACAUCACGCCAAACAAGAGGUGUGAAAGCCACAAACCCGACACGAACCGCAUCAAAGAGGAUUCCUCCACCGUCACCUCCACCUCCACCAAGGCUAGUCCGUCUAACCGGUAACUGGAAUCAAACUUGAUAGAAGCCCCAAACCCCAAGCAGCUCCACAUAGAACGCAGCAUUAAUUUUUUGGCAGCAUUUGCACUUCUAAGAUUUCCCAUUUGGACAGCAGUUGCUCGUUUUGCUCAAAACACCUGAACCAAAAGCGGUAAAGUCGAGAUGAACCUUUUUUGAGCUUGCUUUAUCACUGUGGUGGAUUUAUACAGGGUGUGUAGAACGUUUCUGACCUCAUGGACCACUGAGCAUUAAUCCAUUUCAGAUUAUACACACACACACACACACACACACAUAUAUAUAUAUAUAUAAAAUAUAUACGCAUUAUAGGAAGUGUGUUUAUUCAGAAUCGCUGAAGGAAUGAGCGCUGGUAACUUUCCACGAAUGAACAAAUAAUUGUUGUUUGUUUUGUUUUUAAAGUGUUGUCGGUUUUCGCGUUGUUUACCUGUUACGUGUAUAAAGUGUCACCCGAGCUCGCCUCAAACCGAAUACAAAUGAGACGCGGUCUAAAGACAAAAGAUUCUCAUGUGCAGUAUAACCCUCUUACACUUACUUAUGUUCCAGUUUACGAGACAGUAAAUACUUUUAAGUAUUAGGUCACAGUAUGCAGUUUGAGACUGUUGUCAUUGCACAUGUCAAAAAGCCCCCCCCCCUCCUUCCUCCCCCCCCCCCCUUCCUCCCCCCCUACAAAAAGCACAAGAUUGUGUUACAGUUCUCAUAACACUAUUAUUUUAGCUACCGUUGUACGCUUUCUUUUUUGUUGUUGCUGUUUUUUUUUAAAUACCGUGAACAUUAAAGAACAUACUUUCCAACUGUUUACAAGCAA